rnacentral:rRNA from 1 species
AGAGUUGAUUAUGGCUCAGGACGAACGCUGGCGGCGUGCUUAACACAUGCAAGUCGAACGGGAGUAUUGAAGAAGCUUGCUUAGAGAUACUUUAGUGGCGGACGGGUGAGUAACGCGUGAGGAGCUGUCCUAUGCAGGGGGACAACAGCUGGAAACGGCUGCUAAUACCCCAUAAGCCGAGAGGUAAAAGGAUCAAUCCGGCAGAGGAGGUACUCGCGUCCUAUCAGCUAGUAGGUGAGGUAACGGCUCACCUAGGCGAAGACGGGUAGCCGGCCUGAGAGGGCGAACGGCCACACUGGAACUGAGAUACGGUCCAGACUCCUACGGGAGGCAGCAGUGGGGAAUAUUGGGCAAUGGGGGAAACCCUGACCCAGCGACGCCGCGUGGGUGAAGAAAUCCUUCGGGAUGUAAAGCCCUGUUGUAUGGGAAGAGCGGAAGACGGUACCAUACGAGGAAGCCCCGGCAAACUACGUGCCAGCCGCCGC